GAGCAGGUGGGAGCAUGUUAUCUAUGUGAGGUCUCCUCUCACUCUCUCAGAUACACAUGGAGGUACCAGGAAAAGCUUUUGAUAUGCGCAUGAACCUCAUUUUUAUCCGCGCUCCCUUCUAAGGAGUCCCCAGUUCAGAACAAAAUGAAGGAAUGAAAAAGCAUGGCCGCUGACUUUCGUAACGCUCAGAGAGUUGUGGUUGGUAACAUCGCAGGAAAGGUAUAAGUCAUCUCUCCCGCGUUGAAUUUAUUUGUAAUUGUGCAGCUGGUCUGCAGUGAUAAUUAUGAUUUAAGUUUCUGGAUGCGUAGUUCAAAAUU